UUAUAAAUAAAGUUCAAGUACAAAGUUCUUGUAUGUAUUUUUUCUUAUCUACCACAUACACAAUAUUAUAUUUUUUUUUAAUAAAGUACCUAAAUUGGUUAGUUGUAUGUCAAUUGGAUACUUGAUGAGUAGGUACAUAUUAUUAUGUACAAUUUGUUGUUUAAUCAUUUAUACAUCUAAAAUAAAUUGUUGUUUAAAUGCUUAGCCUAUGGUGCACUGGUACCUGCUGGAUAAUAAAUGCCAAGCUAUACAAUCAAGUGGCAUAGCACUACAUAUAAAUAUUAGUAAAAACUUGGAUUUUUCUGUCAGUUAUUGAAGAGUUUUGUUUGUUUUGGUAUUUCUAUUUGGAAAAUAGAUAGUCCAAGAUUAUCUAUAUUUACAACAAACAUUCUUAGACAUAUAAUUUGAUCUCACUUUUUAAUUCA